CAGCCGCCGCGGGAAUACGAAGGGUGCAAGCGUUAAUCGGAAUUACUGGGCGUAAAGCGUGCGUAGGCGGUGGCUAAGUCUGCUGUGAAAUCCCCGGGCUCAACCUGGGAAUGGCAGUGGAUACUGGCUCGCUAGAGUGUGUCAGAGGAUGGUGGAAUUCCCGGUGUAGCGGUGAAAUGCGUAGAGAUCGGGAGGAACAUCAGUGGCGAAGGCGGCCAUCUGGGACAACACUGACGCUGAGGCACGAAAGCGUGGGGAGCAAACAGGAUUAGAUACCCCAGUAGUCCCUGUCUCUUAUACA
rnacentral:rRNA from 1 species